rnacentral:rRNA from 1 species
AUACAGAGGGUGCGAGCGUUAAUCGGAAUUACUGGGCGUAAAGCGCGCGUAGGCGGUCUAUUAAGUCAGAUGUGAAAUCCCAGGGCUCAACCUUGGAACUGCAUCUGAUACUGGUAGACUAGAGUUUUGGAGAGGGAAGUAGAAUUUCAGGUGUAGCGGUGAAAUGCAUAGAGAUCUGAAGGAAUACCAGUGGCGAAGGCGACUUCCUGGUCAAAAACUGACGCUGAGGUGCGAAAGCGUGGGUAGCAAACGGGAUUAGAAACCCUAGUAGUCC